GUUCCGGGUUCGAGUCCCGGGCAACCCA
rnacentral:tRNA from 1 species